UCCAACCUGUGCUGCCCUGCUUGAACGAACACAAGCAGAUAGGGGCUCCGGCGGCGAAGCUCGCUGAGUUCUGCGCCGCAACCUCACCGUCUGCUCCACUGCGACCUCGCCCUGUUACUACGUACAACAGACUGCCCGCCCCAUCCACGCGCCACCAUUCUCCACCUCGGCGCCAUCCCGCCACCACACCCGGCGCCUACCUCCGCUACCGGCCGACGCCUACGGCCUACCUUCGCCAUCAGCCGACGGCUAGAUCCGCCAUCUGCUGACGCUGGAGAAGACGACUCUAGCCUUCAGGUAUCCCUUUGGAUGUUAAAACCUUGUAUUUUUGUUGUUUAUUUUGGUUCUAUCUGUCACCCCAUUUAUGCUGAUUGUGUUAGAUGUAACUAAUCCUAGCUGAGAUUAACUGCGGUGAUGUCUCUCUGUAUUUUUCUUAGACUACAUAUUCGAGAAAUCACUGAAACCACUUGCUAUAUUUUGCUUAGACCAAAUAUUCGAGAAAUUACUUACAAAAAAUGUCAGUAACUUAUGGCAAGAGAUGAGUUCGAAAUAAUUUUAACCGAUUCAAAGUAAAAUGUCAGCAACUUAGAACAAGUAGUUUUGGUGUGAUGUGGAUGAAGCAUCUAGCACUUGUACAAUUAAUGGAGGAUAAUAAUUGCAAGUCCAUGCCCAUCUAGUCAGAUCAGAGUGACACUGUUGAAUUAAGAGAUCAUUUUCCUUGCGCUACUGCCUACUAUACAUGAACAAAACCAAGAUAACAAAAAGUGUCUCGCAGAUUGUUGCUCGCCCACAGAUAUGCAGAAGAACAAUCCACACAAUUGAUAAAUAUGUGCACAAAUAUGAAAUGUUCCCUAACUUAAGUACCUUUCAGAUCCAAUGUGUAUGGUACGCAUGUGCUCCGGGCCACCUUCAGGGUUGCUGUUUUUGCAACAGUAAAACUGUGGCAGCAUAUCAACGGCGACAUUUAUCUUUGUUGUUGCCUGUUCUCCAGAGAACAUAGGAAGCAAUCUAUAUUACAAGUUGGUUACUGGAAUUCAAUGUGGAACAUAAAUAGCUUUGCACGUAAGAAUUUUUCAGAUGCUGUUUAGCAUUGCUAUGAAUAAUCUGUUUCCCAAAAUCAUGAGUUCUUAUUACUAGAUAAAAUUUGGCAUUCAUGCUCAUGUACACAAGAUAAUAAUGGAUAAAGUAUACUAAGUAAAUGGGCAAGGUUAUUGUUAUAUAUUCCAUAAACAAAUAUUUGUAAGAAUGCGCACCACCAAUGCAGUUCCUCUGUUUUGCUUGUAACUAAGUACUUACAGAGCUAUAACCCACUGUCUUCAUAGAACAGAGGAACACCUCCGGAAGAAUACUGGCAGGCAAAAGGUUAUCAUUAUAUAUUGUAUAGAAAAUUGUAAUUAUGUGUAUGGGUGAAGACUGAAUAGUCAAAAAAUGAUAAGCUACUGAAGUUGUCGUCUUUUGCAUCUUUGGUGCAGGAUUUAUAAGUACAAAUCUCGGUUCAUGGACCUGCUAAUUCUUUAUUCUUAGAAUUAGCUUACCUUCUCAAAUCAACUUGCUGAAUGUUUAUGUUGUGCAUUUCCUAUGGAAUAUAUAUGUUUUUGAUCUUGGAAAAUCCAUGAUACUCGCUGUACCAUAGAGUUGUUGUCGUAUUUAUACGUGUUGGAUGAAUUCAUCAGCGUGAAGCAACAGGCUAUCAAGCACAACCCAUGGGAGCAGACAUCACUUCGCGAUUAAUUAAUGGAUGACAAAUGCCUUUGUUCAUGUGCUAUAUGAAACUGGUUACAUUGUUGUAGACUUUUGGUACAACUUGUACAACUAGUUGCCACUGUGUUGCAGCUAGCAUCCCAUGCCCUGUUUCUUUUUUCUGUAACAUGCACAAGAGUGAUGUUGGUUUCGUGAGCGUGACUAUACUGGCCUGGGAUACUGACGAAGUGCAACAAGGCAUUGGUUGCUUCCUGAAUAUUCUACUUUCUCAUCCUGUACAAUCGUUUAGUUUCUUUGGUUGUAGCCUGGUUUUCUAUUUUGCUUGUUGUAACUGGCCCAGUUUGAAUAUUCCAUGACACUAUGUGUACUA